UUCUGCUCUGACACAAGUAGGCAUGUAAUCAAUUCAGAAUAUUUCUUAAAUCCCUUUUCAUGAUAUUGUUGUUGUAGCAAUACGUUAGAAGCAUGAAAAGUAGAAAAAAUUUUCUCUACUAAGUCCUCAUCAGUAAUGAUUUUUCCACAUAAUCUUAAUAUUGAACUUACUUUAUGAAUAGCAGAAUUAUACUCAACUACGGUUUUAAAAUCUUGAAACUGAAGGUGUAUCCAGUCAUAUUUAGCUUUUGAUAAUACCGUCAAUUUUAGGUGGUGAUAUCGAUCCUUCAAGUUUAUCCAUAAUUCAAGUGGAUCUUUCACAGUUAAAUAUUCAGUUUUUAAUCCUUUAUGGAGGUGAUGACGAAGAAAAAUCAUAGCUUUUGCCUUAUCUUGACUUGUUGCGUUAUUUUCUUGUUUAAUAGUAUCUCCAAGACCUCUAGCGUCAAGAUGAAUUUCAGCAUCAAGGACCCAUGAUAAAUAAUUCUUUCAGGUGGUUCUUGAAGCUUGCGCAAUUUCCUUCUUAUGAAACAUGGCAUGCCAAUCUUAUCCAGCUGAAAGUAACCUGCUACUUCUGAGGGAAGUUGACUGCAAUGGAAGUAAUGUUGAGGAUGUUCUUAUUGGUGACUAACCUUUGAUAAGGCAUCUGCUACAAAAUUGGCUUCCCUGUAUACAUGUCUGCAAAUAAAUAGUUGGAACUGUAAUAUGAUCUUUAGUAAUGACUCCACUAAAUUUUGUAGAUACCAUGGGGCUGGUAUUUGUUCUCUUAUCCAUCUAACCAGGGUCAGAGUCCACCUCCAGAAUAAUCUGUUGUAUACCAUUACUUAGACACCAAGAGAGUCUCCAUAUAGCAGCCUUCACCUC